GUAAGAGAACACUCGUGUGUGUGUGUGUACGUUCAUACGCUCGUGUGUGUGUGUGUGUGUGUGUGUGUGUGUGUGUGUGUGUGUGUGUGUGUGUGUGUGUGUGUGUGUGUGUGUGUGUGUGUGUGUAUGUGUGUGUCUUUAGACCUAACUUCUCACAGAGUUGUCAAUCAGUUGUAAUUUGAUGCUGAAAAGCAGGCUAUGGGUUGGGUUGUGCAGUGGGGUGGGACAAUGGAGUCCAUCUGUAUCUCUGGUAACAGUCAACUUCUAAUGCAUCAUCUGAUCUGGGGCGCUUUACAAAUGGCACCCCAUUCCCUAUAUAGUGUACUACUUUAGACCAGAGGGCCCUGGUCAGAAGUAUAGUAUAUAAGAAAUAGGGUGCCAUUUGGGACUCAGACAGGGUUCAUUCACCUGUUGUCUGUUCACUGAACCACUUUAGCCUUCUCAUCCUAAUGCAUUUCUUCCAUUCACCGUACUGACACAACACCUCUUUACCAUCGAUAAAGUGGGUCUUAUAGUGGGCCAUGUAGAGGUCUUAUAGUGGGCCAUGUAGUGGUCUUAUAGUGGGCCAUGUAGUGGUCUUAUAGUGGGCCAUGUAGUGGUCUUAUAGUGGGCCAUGUAGUGGUCUUAUAGUGGGCCAUGUAGCGGUUUUAUAGUGGGCCAUGUAGUGGUCUUAUAGUGGGCCAUGUAGCGGUCUUAUAGUGGGCCGUGUAGUGGUCUUAUAGUGGGCCAUGUAGCGGUCUUAUAGUGGGCCAUGUAGCGAUCUUAUAGUGGGCCAUGUAGUGGUCUUAUAGUGGGCCAUGUAGCGAUCUUAUAGUGGGCCAUGUAGAGGUCUUAUAGUGGGCCAUGUAUCGGUCUUAUAGCGGGCCAUGUAGUGGUCUUAUAGCGGGCCAUGUAGUGGUCUUAUAGUGGGCCAUGUAGCGGUCUUAUAGUGGUCCAUGUAGCGGUCUUAUAGUGGGCCAUGUAGCGGUCUUAUAGUGGGCCAUGUAGCGAUCUUAUAGUGGGCCAUGUAGUGGUCUUAUAGUGGGCCAUGUAGCAAGUGGUCCAUGUAGCGGUCUUAUAGUGGGCCAUGUAGCGGUCUUAUAGUGGACCAUGUAGCGGUCUUAUAGUGGACCAUGUAGCGGUCUUAUAGUGGACCAUGUAGCGAUCUUAUAGUGGACCAUGUAGUGCUUGUGUAUGUUCAGAUCUGUGUUUGUGUGGCCAUAAUAAUGUGUUUGUCUACGACAUUGUUUCAAACAACCCUCUGAAUCCUAAAUAUAACACAUUGACUUCUUCCUAAAUGGGAUCUGUGCACUUUUGACACUUUUGACAUGAUUUAGGAAUAAUGCUGAAUUCCAAAUAACUCCAUUAUAGAAAGUAUUGUUUAUUCCAGAUGCUGACAUCUUCCUA
ensembl:lncRNA